rnacentral:tRNA from 1 species
GGUGGCUCAGUGGUAGAGUGCUUGCCUUGCAUGCAUGAAGCCCUGGAUUCGAUUCCUAGCACCA